UGAUGUGAAUGAUCGGGAGGAGUGAGCUCAUAAGGGGAAUCUGAAGGAGGUUUAGGUUUAUCUGGAACGACCCAAUUAUACAUAUACGAACAUUAGAAGGUAUAUGAUAUUUGUAUGUAAGCAACAAAACUCAUCUGAUUUUGUUUGAGGGGAGGAUGGUCAUCUGACGUAGGGGAAGCAAUAUUUUUUCAGAGAAACGAGGCUUCUCAUUGCCACCAUCACCCUAUAACUCAUUGUUCACCACCAUCAUCACUCUAUAUGCUUCACCUCACGAUCACCCUCGAGUUGCUUUCAAGUUUUUCAGUUCCAAGUUGGAUUAAAAUUUGUGAUAAUACAAAGCGACAGUUGUACGACUGCAUGGCAACAAAAUGAGAUUUCGAUUUCUUCAAUCAGCAUUGUGAAGGCUAAUCAAAGCUGAAGUUUGAGAUGGUUUCUUUCCAAGAGAGAGUUCUGUACCAGUUAACGCAAAUGAAUGAGGACAACCAGCAGCUGAGUUAUUAUAAGAACAAGAUUGCUAAAGAAUAAAAGAAUUCCAAAUCAAUUAAAGAGUCCUUUGAUUUUGUGACUUAGAGGAUUAGGAAAACUGAAGACGAGAAUCAUAUUGUGACGGAGAGAAGACAACGCUACUAUGAACAAAACAAGGAAGAGAUGGAUUACAAAGAACAUUUCCUUAAGGACGAGCUGAAGUUAAUUUAAGAUGCUAUGAAUGCAAGAGAAUGGAAACUUAUUCAAUGGUGGAAACUUACUCCGCAUUUGUUUCUUUCAUUGGUGGAUCCGAAGAGGUAUCAACAUACUCCGCAUUUGUUUCUUUCAUUAGGUAGUUAGUUAUAUCAUAGUAGACAAGAUAGAGUAUGUUUAUGUAAUGUUAUAAUAUAAUAUCCUAAGAUGAGGUAUCAUCAUACUACUUGCUAUUUUAUCCCCAUUUUAUGUUUAUAGAGACUAAU